rnacentral:rRNA from 1 species
GUCCCUACGGGGGGCAGCAGUGAGGAAUAUUGGUCAAUGGGCGGGAGCCUGAACCAGCCAAGCCGCGUGAGGGAAGAAGGUACAGCGUAUCGUAAACCUCUUUUGUCAGGGAACAAAGGCGGGGACUAGUCCCCGGAUGAGGGUACCUGAAGAAAAAGCAUCGGCUAACUCCGUGCCAGCAGCCGCGGUAAUACGGAGGAUGCGAGCGUUAAUCGGAAUUACUGGGCGUAAAGCGCACGUAGGCUGUAUGACAAGUCAAGGGUGAAAUGCCACGGCUCAACCGUGGAACUGCCUUUGAAACUGUA